rnacentral:misc_RNA from 1 species
CUCUUGAUGACUUUUAUCCAUAAGUUGUGUUUACACAUUUCGUUUCGACCUCGCGAUUUGUAUUACGAAUUAAAACCUUGUUUUAUUGUGUUUCAGACAUCCAAGCAUCAUGUUGAGAAUUGCAUAAAUACAUCAAAUACUCUCGAAAUGGUUAUAUCCUUCCUUUGGAAUAGACCAUGUUUUGUUCUAGGAUAGCAAAGAAUUUCUUAGGCCCAAACUGCUCGACACUGCCGCGGUUGUUUUCAGGGUACCUCGUAGAGAAAUUGAUCAAGCAGCCACCCUUGCUGCUCACCGGAAGCUAUCACGUGCUGACUGUUACUGGGCCUAGCAAAUUUAGGUUGUCUAGAUUGUACAAUGUUAUAAAACGGAGUUGCACAAAUCAAGGUGAAAGAAAUGAUUUAAACAUGGAAACAACUAUGCAAUUAAAGAGAGUGCUUGUUUUGUCGAAAAUAACAAGAUACGAAUAUGAACGCCAGCGACAUGAAGGAAUCUCCGAAAAGAAGCUGGAGAAAUUACUUGCAGAGAGAGGUUCAGAUUACAAGAAAUUACUACAACGAAAUGACAUUCAUCAAGGCAAUAUAAAACAGUUGUGUGCAAUGCUAGAAGAGAAUGGCAUUAAUUACAAAGUAGUUCAGAGAAAAGAAUACAACGAAACGUGCAUUGAUUGGGCUGAUCUGGUGAUUUCUGCUGGGGGUGAUGGUACAUAUUUGUCGGCUGCCAGUAAGAUCCAUGACGCCAAACCUCUCAUCGGCAUCAACACUGAUCCAAACAACUCAGAAGGUCACCUGUGCCUACCAAACAAGUACUCAACAGAUUUCAAUGAAGUUCUUCAGAAACUAAAACAAGGAAAAUUUAGGUGGAAGUGGCGACAAAGGAUUCGUGUUACUGUAGACGGGGCCGUUCCAUUAGAGCCGGUGGAUUUACAGGACCAAAACCAUCGGGAUCAGCACUGGAAAAUGCGAGAAAAAGCCAAAUUAGAAACAACAGUACCUGGUCCACGUAUCUUGCCUAUCAAGGCUUUGAAUGAAGUUUUUAUUGGAGAAACAUUGUCUUCAGUAGUGUCUUAUUAUGUAGUGAACAUUGAUGACGGUCCAGCAGAGAAGCAGAAGAGCUCAGGAAUCACCAUAUGCACUGGUUCAGGGUCCACUUCUUGGUCUUUUAACACAAACAAGCUUUCGUCUCAGAGUUUGCAAGAAAUAUUACGAAUUGUUAAGGAAGAAACUGGCUGCAAUAUACCUGAAAGUCAAGACUCGGUCAAGAGAAUAGUAGACCGGUUCAACGAUUCUUUGGUGUUUGACCCAUCUGAUGUCAGGAUGGCUUAUACUGUGCGUGAUCCAGUUGUUAAUAGAAUCUUUGCAGCUGACUUUCCCAGGGGAUUUGCUAAAAGAAUCAGCAUCAGGUCUCGUUGUUUUGAUGCUUGCCUUGUCCUUGACAGCGGCUACUCCUUCAUCUUCAAUGAUGGUGCCAUGGCAACAUUGGAAACUAGGGAAGAGGAUGCAUUGCGCACACUUGAGCUAAUUGAAGAAGAACCAGAUGAUGAGUAAAGAAUAGUCAAAAGAAGAUAAAUCCUAUAUAUCAUGCACUGUUUGGGGGCAGUUAAAGAAUAGCAUUAUUACCUUAAAACAUGGUUUCAGUUGGUAAAGAUGAGGCAGAAGAGUUGGAUGAUGAAGACAAUAUAUUUUGCAUGAUGGAUUUUGUCAACAGCUAAAGAUUGGUGAAACAGAGUUCAUUUGAUCGUAAUAAUAUAUAAGAUAAAGAAGUGACAGACAGUUUAUUGAAUGUUAUUGACCAAUAGUUAAAAAUACAUUAUUAGCCUCCCCAAAGGAGCGAAGCUCUAGGGGAGGCUAUUGUUUUUUCCUAUGUUCUUCAUAUUGCCGUCGUUUGUGUCUUUGUUGUUGGUCAUUUGUUUGUAUACCACGGUAUCUAAAGUUUGGUAAGCCUGAUUGGAUUCAAACUUGGCAGAAUGCAAGAUGGUAAUAAGAAGACGGAGUGUAUUGUUUUUGGUACAUGUGUGAAUAUGCUUUUUGCUCAUUUCAAUAAUUAUUAUUUUACUAAUAAGGUAAUUUAUGCUAGCUACCUCGAUAACUAAAGUUUGGUAAGUCUGACUGGUUUCAAACUUUGCACAAUGCAUCAUGGUAAUAAGAAGAUGGAGCCUAUGGUUUAUGGUACAUGUGAAUAUGCUAAUUGCACAUUUGCAUAAUUAAUAUGUCACUACAGGAAAUUUAUGCUAAAUACUAUCAUAACUCCCUAAGAAAAUUUCUAAUUUAGGUAACUGUUAGUUGUAGCCCUCUAAUUACAGACAUUCGGCAGCUGUUGACAUAUGUUGGUGUUAGUAGAUGGCAUAUAUGACGAGAGAUGUGUGCACAAACUAUGACCAAACAUGCAAAUACGGAAAACUAAAUACUAUUUACAAAAGUGAAAUUGGGGAUAAUUUUAUAUAUUUUAUUCAUGUUGUCGUCGUCGUUUCAAACUGAUAGGUUUCAAAUUCCUACUUAUAAAUUUUAAGAGAAAAAUCACAUCGUGGGGAUGCUAUGCUUUUAUUGCGCAGAGUAAAAGUAGCAUUUCUAGUUAUUGAUUGUGGUUGAAAAAAUGUAGGCCUACUGUACAGGUUUGUGCUUGUUAUGGUGUAUAGGAAUAUGUCAGUAGUGUCCUGUUAAGCAUCCUAAAGGAAUUUAAUAAUGAAUAGUUAAUUAAAAAAAAUUUAUACCAAAGAGUAUGAGUUAAACUCUACCUUCAUUUCUCUAAAACACCUAGAGGGAUCUGUGAUACAAGGUGCUAUAUGUGGUUUUAUUCCAGUAUUAUAAUGUUAGCGCCAACUUCAAAUUUUAAACUUCCAGCAGUAACAAACCGAUCAGUUGUCAGUUUGAUGUCUGCAUGGUAACCACUGUCGUUUGUUGUAUUAUUCUUGUCAACAUUGUACUGUUUAUUUUACUUUACUUUCUUUGCAUCUUUUCUAUUUAUCUGGGUUUAAACUACAGUUAUAAACAUGAAGAAUAAAAUUCAAUAUUUGCUCACUUCUUAUGCAAAUUAAGUAAGUUUAUUGGUCUGCAAUUAAAACUUACAGUGAGAAAAUAUUUUGGUAUCACAUAAUUGAUAUUGCAUUGAAAUUUGCCUAUGUAGACCCUUAAUAAUUGGUUGGUACUAUUAGAUGGCUGUAAACCAGUGAUAACUGUAUUGUUUCAGGCUGUCUCAUUGGAAACCUAUUAUUUGAUGUUAAGUGAACAAUUUAAUAUUUUCUUUGAUCUUUUGAGGGUUUCUUUUACUGCAGCAGUAUGCAUUACAAGUAAAUAAACCAAUAAUAAUGAUCUUAUA